UCCCCAUGAGGAAACAUCCACAUGUCUUACUUCCUGUACUAGCCCCAGAGCCUGAAAAGGUGAACCCACUGGGGCUGGCUGGGGGAAAGGAGGAAAACUUGUUCCAGAAGGAACUGUCUGAGGGAU